CACUGUCUAAAUGCAAGAGACUCGUCAGGAGCUUCCAAGAUGGCUGAAGACUCUGCAGGUCCAGUGGGUGCAUUAGUGUGUCUAAGUCCAGGAUCUCAGGAGUGACAGCCAACAGUGGCUCAUCCAUCAUAUUGAUCUCAUGCUCCUCUUCUUGUCUUUGCAUCGUUUGUUCUGGAACCAGACGCGGAUGACACGCGAGCUCAAGCCCGUCAGCUCCAUCAGCUGUUCCUUCACCGUAGCGUCUGGUCGUGGGUUAGCGUUGUAGCACGUGCGCAGCACGUGCAGCUGAGACUGGCUGAGUGCCGUCCUCACACGUGCAGUCUUCUCAUUCUUGAUGGGCUUAACGGGCCAGCCAGAGUCACCUUCUCCGCUUGACUGGGAAGUGUCUGCAUGCAGGUAGAAAAUACACAGUGAUAAAUAUAGACUACAGAUAUAUAGACUCAAGAGUCAAGCUAAAUGCUAAUUAAGCACAUUUAGACAUGAGCUGAAAUACUGUAUUUGAAGCUUGACUUCCAGGUUAAGAAAGAAAUUGUGUACAUACAGAAUCUUUUUCAUUCAGACCCAUGAAUAUAACACUGGGGAUGCUGCUGUGUUGGUUUCUAAGUGCUCCUCUCCAACUGGUUUGAAUGUUUACCUGCUCCUUCAUCACACCUGUCCAGGUCAGUCACAUGUGCUGAGUGAUGUGUAAGUGUUAUUAGUCCGUGAUUGGAGUUUUCGUGACCAGUGCAGUGCAGGAAGCCGUCUCGCAUGGUAAACUCAUCUCCGGGCAGCAGCUGCCGAUCGCAGCACUUACACCGGAAACACUGCACGUGAUAGACGUUAACUCCUGCACGCAUGACGUAAUCACAACUGCUGAAGGACUUUAGACAUUUUGCACAUUUGGUGGUGUAUAAUCUGAAAAGCGAGUUAUAAAAAUAAUUCAUAAUUAAUAAAAGAACGUCACAGAAAGGACGUCACACAUUGUCCAAUCAACGUACAAAUUACACAAAAGGACAGAUGACAGAACUUAUGUUUAAUUUUUUACUACUGUGAAUGUAGUAUUUAUGUUGUAUCUAUUUUAUCUUUAAGUGUGUGUGUGUAAUAGUUUUUUUUUUGUUGAUAGAUAUUAGAUAUUAUGUAGCCUCCCAUCUAUUAUCAACAACCAGCUGUCACUGCAUGUGUCUACAAAGAACAGAAACAUUCUCAAGUGGCUGUUUGUAUUACCCAUAAUACACUGAAAGCAUAGGUCAUGUGUAUUUAACCCUCACAAAUGACAGCGAGUCAGUUUACAAACAAAAUAUGAUUGUGUAAUGAAAUCAAAUGUGUUAUCUGUAACAUAUACAGUAGCUAGAGGUCAUGUUAAGUGUCCUCCUUUGUGUCCUCCAUCAGGCAUCUGAUUUAUGUACAGUGUUAAAUUUUUAUUAGAUAAAUAGCUAACUGCCAAUUCAUUAUUCAUUAUAUCCAUACUGUAGUGUAGAGGCUAGAUAUUAAAUAUGAUAUUAUCUUUUCUGGCAACUGAUGUGAAUUCCAAGUGAGUCAACUAUAAGGGUUGAAUCUUUCUGCUCUCGAAUGGCUCACUGCUGUUCCAUUUCUUACUAUUAUUAUUUUAUAAACCAGAUGAAUUUUGUGAUAUCGUAACCAGUUAUUGUUCAUCUUUGAAUAACUGGCUAAAAUUGUUUCAUGAACUAUCACUCCUGAUAAUCCAAGACUUCCCAAAGUUAUUCCUAAUAAGGAUUAAAGUACAAACUAUGUACAGCUUCCCAAACAACACACAUGUUUAUUUUUUCUUGAUGACCACAAUCAUGUAAACAAUAAAAUUGAUUAAAACCUGAUAUAAUCAUCUUUACA